AUUGAACGCUGGCGGCAGGCCUAACACAUGCAAGUCGAACGAGUGGCGGACGGGUGAGUAAUGUCUGGGAACCUGCCCGAUGGAGGGGGAUAACUACUGGAAACGGUAGCUAAUACCGCAUACCAUCGGAUGUGCCCAGAUGGGAUUAGCUAGUAGGGGGGGUAACGGCUCACCUAGGCGACGAUCCCUAGCUGGUCUGAGAGGAUGACCAGCCACACUGUAACGUGUACACGGUCCCAAUUCCUGUGGCAGGCAGCAGUGGGGAAUAUUUGACAAUGGGGGCAAGCAUGAGGCAAACAUGCGGCGUGUGUGGAAAAGACCGUGGGGUUGUGAAGAACGUUAAGAGAGGGGGCGUUACUCGCAGAAGAAGCACCGGCUAACGCCGUGCCAGCAGCCGCGGUAAUUC
rnacentral:rRNA from 1 species